AGGGAAUCUUCCGCAAUGGACUCAAGUCUGACGGAGCAACGCCGCGUGAGCGAAGAAGGCCUUCGGGUCGUAAAGCUCUGUUGUCAGGGAAGAACAAGUACCGGAGUAACUGCCGGUACCUUGACGGUACCUGACCAGAAAGCCCCGGCUAACUACGUGCCAGCAGCCGCGGUAAUACGUAGGGGGCGAGCGUUGUCCGGAAUCAUUGGGCGUAAAGCGCGCGCAGGCGGUCCCUUAAGUCUGAUGUGAAAUCUUGCGGCUCAACCGCAAGGGGUCAUUGGAAACUGGGGGACUUGAGUGCAGGAGAGGGAAGCGGAAUUCCAUGUGUAGCGGUGAAAUGCGUAGAGAUAUGGAGGAACACCAGUGGCGAAGGCGGCUUCCUGGCCUGUAACUGACGCUCAGGCGCGAAAGCGUGGGGAGCAAAC
rnacentral:rRNA from 1 species